rnacentral:lncRNA from 1 species
UUGUUUUUUUCUUCCUUUUUAAUGCUUUCAACCAAAACAAGACUUGAGGCCACUGUGUGUAAGGGACUACAGAGCAGGGAAGGAAAGGGGCCUGCAAUUUCAAAAGGUUCUCAUUUGACAAAAUGCUUUUAAAGGUCUGAAUAUCAUAGACGAGAGAUAAAAGAGAAUCUGGACAAUGGUCAGGAGAUCCAGAGAACAUUAUUUCCAAGAAUGGAGUUAUAAGUAGAAAAGGGAUUUGAAACAGAAAAUUCAACAGAGAAACAAUGCAUAAGGGAAGAGAACUUUUACAUGUUUCAGUCAUUAAACUGUAGCCAUGCUGGGGCACCACCCAAAAGAAUUUUUAGUCGAAUGAAUCAACCCCCAGCACUUAUUCACCUUUUAAGCCAGUUAGAAGCAAUAAACAAGUUACAAAGGUGCAAAGUUUCCGAUAUUACCGAUUUGGUAUUUACGGUUAAUAUAAAAACCAUGAAUACUGAUAGUCGAAGACAUGAUGAUAAGGGUUUUAUGAAAAACUACAUGAAACUUACGGAUGAUUAUGAGGGAA